CAAAAUGUCUCUGGAACUCCUCAGCUACACAUCCCGGUGAUUCCACUGAGAAUUAUUUACAUCUGAGAAUGAGGGGCAUAAUGUUGUUCUCAAAAAUUGUCGUGAUGUUGGCAAGAAAAGACACGCCACUGAUCGUCUGAUACCUGGAGAACUUACCUGGCUUUCAUCUCAACUGGAACAUGGGAGCAGUACUUCCAGAAAAUGCUUAUGGGAGAGGAGUGGAGCUUUGAGCUUGAAGACUGAGCAUGAUGCUGAAGUGACUCACCUCCUAAAGAUAUCUGAACUCAGCACAAAACAAAUUAAGCAAAACAUUAAACAGCAGCAAUGGCAGCAUCCAGUGUUCCUGCUGCUGAGCAGAUGGAUGCAAAAGGGAAUCUGUUUAACAAAUGCACAGUCCUUAAAUCUUCAUAAGAAGAUGACAGACUUUCAACAGAGCUGGAAGGAAGGAGACUACACUCAGACGGGGUCAAUUCACAGAAGAGUUCCUGAUCAUGGCAACAGAGAAUUGGACCCCAGAUCAAGG